UGACUACACCCGCUUCGCUUCCUCCCCUCUCUAAGCCGGGGAAGCUAAGCCAUGGCGUCCGUCACCGCCCGCACCCCGGUCGCAGCCCUCCGCUCGUCGGCGUCGCUCAAGUCUACCUUCCUAGGGCAAUCCUCCACCCGCCUCGCCCGCGCACCGACUACGAGGCGUAAUGUUCGGGCGGAGGCCAAGGGAGAGUGGCUCCCCGGCCUCCCUUCUCCCACCUACCUCAACGGCAGCUUGCCAGGCGAUAACGGGUUCGACCCGUUGGGUCUGGCGGAGGACCCGGAGAACCUGCGGUGGUUCGUGCAGGCGGAGCUGGUGAACGGGCGGUGGGCGAUGCUGGGGGUGGCCGGGAUGCUGCUGCCUGAGGUGCUGACGAAGAUCGGGUUGAUCGACGCGCCGCAGUGGUACGACGCCGGCAAGGCCACCUACUUCGCGUCGUCGUCGACGCUGUUCGUCAUCGAGUUCAUCCUGUUCCACUACGUGGAGAUCCGGCGGUGGCAGGACAUCAAGAACCCUGGCUGCGUCAACCAGGACCCCAUCUUCAAGAGCUACAGCCUCCCGCCGCACGAGUGCGGCUACCCCGGCAGCGUCUUCAACCCCCUCAACUUCGAGCCCACCCUCGAGGCCAAGGAGAAGGAGCUCGCCAACGGGAGGCUGGCGAUGCUGGCGUUCUUGGGGUUCCUGGUGCAGCACAACGUGACGCAGAAGGGGCCCUUCGACAACCUGCUGCAGCACCUGUCUGACCCGUGGCACAACACCAUCAUCCAGACGCUGUCAGGCUGAGCGUGUGAUCGAUUUCAUCAGGGCCAGGGCAUCUCAAGGAGCUUGAUGAGUUCAGGCUGGUGAAACCGAUGAUUGGGCGAUGGAAGAUGUUCUCUUCUUGUUUCUUCUUUUUUUUUUUGUGGAGUAUGCAUGUAUAAGAUGUUAAUGAAUUGGGGGGAGGAGAGAGAGAGAGAUGGAUGUGAUGAGAUUCAGACUUACUGUGUGUGUUGUGGUAAUUGUUUCCUGCAUGCAUGGAUCUGGAUGCAUGGGUGAGGGGGUGAGUUGAGUGGUGAAUUUCUGAUGUACAGUACUACAGGGGGAUAAACUAUCUCAUGGUAGCAGCAGUGUUCUAGCUAUCUCAUGGUCUCGAUCUUAAUUAUGG
rnacentral:misc_RNA from 1 species